GACGAAGGGGGCUAGCGUUGUUCGGAAUUACUGGGCGUAAAGCGCGUGUAGGCGGUUGUUCAAGUCGGGUGUGAAAGCCUUGAGCUCAACUCAAGAAAUGACACUCGAUACUGGAUGACUUGAGGACCGGAGAGGAUAGUGGAAUUCCCAGUGAUAGUGGUGAAAUACGUAGAGAUUGGGAAGAACACCAGUGGCGAAGGCGGCUAUCUGGACGGUUUCUGACGCCAAGACGCGAAAGCGUGGGGAGCAACAGG
rnacentral:rRNA from 1 species